GUCGAGCGGAUGAAGGGAGCUUGCUCUCUGAUUCAGCGGCGGACGGGUGAGUAAUGCCUAGGAAUCUGCCUGAUAGUGGGGGACAACGUUUCGAAAGGAACGCUAAUACCGCAUACGUCCUACGGGAGAAAGCAGGGGACCUUCGGGCCUUGCGCUAUCAGAUGAGCCUAGGUCGGAUUAGCUAGUUGGUGAGGUAAUGGCUCACCAAGGCGACGAUCCGUAACUGGUCUGAGAGGAUGAUCAGUCACACUGGAACUGAGACACGGUCCAGACUCCUACGGGAGGCAGCAGUGGGGAAUAUUGGACAAUGGGCGAAAGCCUGAUCCAGCCAUGCCGCGUGUGUGAAGAAGGUCUUCGGAUUGUAAAGCACUUUAAGUUGGGAGGAAGGGCAUUAACCUAAUACGUUAGUGUUUUGACGUUACCGACAGAAUAAGCACCGGCUAACUUCGUGCCAGCAGCCGCGGUAAUACGAAGGGUGCAAGCGUUAAUCGGAAUUACUGGGCGUAAAGCGCGCGUAGGUGGUUUGUUAAGUUGGAUGUGAAAGCCCCGGGCUCAACCUGGGAACUGCAUCCAAAACUGGCAAGCUAGAGUAUGGCAGAGGGUGGUGGAAUUUCCUGUGUAGCGGUGAAAUGCGUAGAUAUAGGAAGGAACACCAGUGGCGAAGGCGACCACCUGGGCUAAUACUGACACUGAGGUGCGAAAGCGUGGGGAGCAAACAGGAUUAGAUACCCUGGUAGUCCACGCCGUAAACGAUGUCGACUAGCCGUUGGGAUCCUUGAGAUCUUAGUGGCGCAGCUAACGCAUUAAGUCGAC
rnacentral:rRNA from 1 species